CCUACGGGAGGCUGCAGUGGGGAAUAUUGGGCAAUGGGCGCAAGCCUGACCCAGCAACGCCGCGUGAAGGAAGAAGGCUUUCGGGUUGUCAACUUCUUUUCUAAGGGACGAAGAAAGUGACGGUACCUGAGGAAUAAGCUUCGGCUAACUACGUGCCAGCAGCCGCGGUAAUACGUAGGUGGCAAGCGUUAUCCGGAUUUACUGGGUGUAAAGGGCGGGUAGGCGGGAAAGCAAGUCAGAUGUGAAAACCAUGGGCUCAACCUGUGGCCUGCAUUUGAAACUGUUUUUCUUGAGUACUGGAGAGGCAGACGGAAUUCCUAGUGUAGCGGUGAAAUGCGUAGAUAUUAGGAGGAACACCAGUGGCGAAGGCGGUCUGCUGGACAGCAACUGACGCUGAGGCGCGAAAGCGUGGGGAGCAAACAGGAUUAGAUACCCCUGUAGUC
rnacentral:rRNA from 1 species